rnacentral:misc_RNA from 1 species
UCCUGGUUUCCCAGGCAGUCCCACCAGAGUGCUUCAUCCGAAGAUGAGUGGCAACUGGCAGUAGGGGUUGCGCUCGUUAGAGGACUUAACCCAACAUCUCACGACACGAGCUGACGACAGCCAUGCAGCACCUGUGAAUCUGUCUAGACCGAAGCCUAGAAGACCAUAUCUCUAUGGUUGUCAGAAACAUGUCAAGCCCAGGUAAGGUUCCUCGCGUAGUGUCGAAUUAAACCACAUGUUCCACCGCUUGUGCGGACCCCCGUCAAUUUCUUUAAGUUUUAGUCUUGCGACCGUAAUCCCCAGGCGAAUCACUUAACGCGUUAGCUUCGACACUAAUCCGGCAAAGCCAGACUAACAUCUAGUGAUCAUCGUUUACGGCGUGGACUAC